rnacentral:rRNA from 1 species
AUUGAACGCUGGCGGCAGGCCUAACACAUGCAAGUCGAACGAGUGGCGGACGGGUGAGAAAUGUCUGGGAAACUGCCUGAUGGAGGGGGAUAACUACUGGAAACGGUAGCUAAUACCGAAAACCAUCGGAUGUGCCAAGAUGUGAUUGGCUAGUAGGUGGGGUAAAGGCUCACGGAGGCCACGAUCCAUAGCUGGUCUGAGAGGAUGACCAGCCACACUGGAACUGAGACACGGUCCAGACUCCUACGGGAGGCAGCAGUGGGGAAUAUUGCACAAUGGGCGCAAGCCUGAUGGAGCAAUGCCGCGUGUAUGAAGAAGGCCUGCGGGUUGUAAAGUACUGUCAGCGGGGAGGCGUUACCCGCAGAGAAAGCACCGGCUAACUCCGUGCCAGCAGCCGCGGUAAUUC